GUUUGUCUGAAACUGCUUUGUGAACAGGUGUACAAAAAAUCCAACUAUGCCACAACCCUGCUGCGAAAAACAAGAUUGCUGCAAGGACGGAAAGUGUUCAUGCCAGAAUUGUUGUAACGACAAGAAGGAAUGUUGCAAACCUGAAAACUCAUCCUGCAAGAAAUGAAUAGAAUGGCUGGAACAGCGUUAGUGAUGUAAUAAAUUUCCAAAUAAAGUAUAUUUUAUAUUAA